GGCCUGAUGGCAGAAUGGUUAUGCACCGGACUGCAAAUCCGUUUAUGCCGGUUCGAUUCCGACUCAGGCCUCCA
rnacentral:tRNA from 1 species